GCGACAUUAGCUCAGUUGUUAGAGCGAUACCUUGCCAAGGUAUAGGUCAUCGGUUCGAACCCGAUAUGUCGCUCCA
rnacentral:tRNA from 1 species